rnacentral:rRNA from 1 species
GGAACCGGAGCUAAUACCGGAUAAUAUAUUGAACCGCAUGGUUCAAUAGUGAAAGACGGUUUUGCUGUCACUUAUAGAUGGAUCCGCGUCGCAUUAGCUAGUUGGUAAGGUAACGGCUUACCAAGGCAACGAUGCGUAGCCGACCUGAGAGGGUGAUCGGCCACACUGGAACUGAGACACGGUCCAG